rnacentral:lncRNA from 1 species
CUGCUUGUUCCCCACACUGCCGCAGCACAGCCCGCGCUUGCUCCUCUCCACGUGCCUCGUGCGUGAGAGGCCUGCGUUCAGCUUUAAAAAUAACAACAGGGAUGGGAGAAAGGCACGGGGAUGCUACUGGAGAGCCACUUCUGGAGGCAGCACAAUGAAUCCGAAACGAGGGGAGGACACCGGGAAGGAGUGGCUCCAGAUGUGUACGGCACACAGCUUCUCGCAGCCCAGCAGCACGGAGCUGUCGCUGGCAGGCAGGGAGCUGCAAGUUUUUAUUUUUCCUCUUCGAAGAGCCACGUAAUUGUUCUGACUAAUAACAACGGACCUGCAACUGCUCCCGCUGUCCUCGGAGGGAGCCAAAUCAGGUUUGGCAUUUGUAAUUAUGUAGGCUAAAAUAAAAGUUAUCAAAUGUCACGCUGGGAGAAUAGAGGGCACGAUCCCGGGCAGCGCCGCGUGCUCUGAGCCUCGUUCAGCCCAACGGCUGAGCACCAGUUCUUGAUUUUGGUAUUUCAUUUAUAUACUUGAAGUCACUCUGCUCGUGUCCGAAGGAGGCACCACAUUACAUGGCCGGAGCGCAGCCUGCAGGCGGGGAGGGAAGCAUCCCCAACAGCCCGCCUGGCAUUCACCCUGCCUUCAGGUGGGCAUGUGACAGAGAAGGGAAUCGGGGUCAGACAGAACCAAUUAGGCUCUAAGAGUCCAGUCCCGAAUUACACCCUGAAGGACUCCAAGGCAUUUGUUGCCAGAGCUAGUGGAUGUCUCAUCCUAUUUACAUAAUAUAUGACCUAAUUUUGUGUUCACUGAGUAUUUAAUUACAGCCGAUUGAAUACUAAAAUGGCUCAAAACACUCUCAGCACUAAUAAUUAAUAUUUUAAAUGUGAUUUUUUUUUUUUUUUUACAUGCAACACUGGCCUUAAGUGUUUUGAGGAAGAAGGCAGAAUGGAAAUGGAUAGUUUUCUCUGGAGCCAGCCCUGAACAGGCAAGCGCUCACUCAACGUGGUGGCCAUUUCUUCCUCCACAGAAAAGAAGCCAGGAGCUCAGUACUUCACACCACCCCAGAUUUAAUCACUCCAGCCCAUUUUGUGAACUGGAACCCCUGUCAGUUCACUUAUCCAGCUCCAUCCCUCUGGGAUGGGGCCUUGUCAAGCUGCAGAGCAUCAUCUGCUCGCCUCAGGCAGAACCAAGAAACAACUGUGUUGAAAGGGAUUCAAGCACAGCUGCUCAACAAUUACUCUUGAGGCACAAGACAAAGUGUCUGUAUGACGAGCAUCUAACUAUUCAUCAGUAUUUGUAAGAGACUUAAUGGGAACCUCAUUAAUAAGUGUGCAUUUCCAACCACACAAGGUUGCACCACCAAACCGUUCGCAGGCAAAGCGAUCAUUAAUCCUGCCUGUUCCUUGCACAAGAGGGGGGAUAACUUUAUAAUAUUGUUUCUCAGCUAAUCAAAAGACUUUGUAAAGGAAAGACCAUUUAAUCAAGCCAGUUUGAAAUGUUUCCAAAACUGGUUUACACUUCAGAGAUUGUGAUAGAUUAAAAAAAAAAAAAAAAAGAGGAACAAAAGAUCAGCAGAGGGACUAAUAACUGUAGGACUGCUCAUACACCUGAAGCUGAAGGGCUCUAGAUGUUCUUAAGGCAUCAGGAACAUUCAUGGCAUUGCUACCAGACCACAGCAGAGCAGCAGCCUUCCUGCAGCACAUCUCACAGAAGCACUCUGCAUUUUGUUCACCAGGUGUGACUCAGAAAGUAAUAGCAAGUUACAAAUUAAACCAUACCAACACUAUUUGAAAGCUGUGCUCCCUUCUAAUUAGGGUUUUUUGUUUGUUUAGGGAAAAAAAAAAAAUCACGUUCAUAAAAAGCUUAACUAAAGGAUAAGGGCCCUUUGUUUCCAGACUUUCUUUAUUAGUGCCAGCUUUAAAACAAAAAACAAAAACAAAAGAAAACAACUCUAAAAGGUCUUCUAAGCAGAGGUUUAUCAUAAAUAAAACAAAGCAUUAGCCUGUAAACCACAGCUCCUGCAGAGCCAACAAGUGCUCAGUACAUAUGUUGUGCGUUAAUCCCACCCAGAGCUAUCCACCUUAAACCAAACAACUGGAAGACAUUAACUGUUAUUUCACGAAUUACACUGUUUUACUACAAUGAUAAUCUCCUCCUCCUAAUUCUUCUGCCGAAAACAUAAUUGCACCAUUAAUGGGACAUAAAUAACUAAUUAC